UACGGAGGGUGCGAGCGUUGUCCGGAUUUAUUGGGUUUAAAGGGUGCGUAGGUGGCUUUAUAAGUCAGUGGUGAAAUACAGCCGCUUAACGGUUGAGGUGCCAUUGAUACUGUAGAGCUUGAAACAAUUGGAGGCUGCCGGAAUGGAUGGUGUAGCGGUGAAAUGCAUAGAUAUCAUCCAGAACACCGAUUGCGAAGGCAGGUGGCUACGUUUGAUUUGACACUGAGGCACGAAAGCAUGGGGGAGCAAACAGG
rnacentral:rRNA from 1 species